AGCUGUAUAUUUAAUCUUACCAAAGACCAAGAUUCUCUCACCUAUUUUCUCUGAAAUGAAUAAGGAGACACGCAGCCCCAUUUAUACAAGGAGCAGCAAUUCCCAGAGAAAAUAACGUUUAAGAUGAUGCACGUAAUUGACAAAAAUAAAGAAUUGGGACCUAGUCUGUUGUUCCUAAUCUGGUCAGAGAUUGAGUAUGACAAAGGGGAGCUGUAAACUAUGAAUGCAAUUCACCAAAGGAGCAGUUUAUGUCUACUACUGAAAACAUUCUCUCAGUCUCCACUUCUGCCAUUGACCAAGGAAAAGAAAACAUGAGAUGGAAUGUACCAAAAACAUGAAUAAAGGAAGAGGAACUGAUUAGCCUGUUGCGAAA
rnacentral:lncRNA from 1 species